CCUACGGGGGGCAGCAGUGGGGAAUAUUGCACAAUGGGCGCAAGCCUGAUGCAGCCAUGCCGCGUGUGUGAAGAAGGCCUUCGGGUUGUAAAGCACUUUCAGCGGGGAGGAAGGCGGUGAGGUUAAUAACCUCAUCGAUUGACGUUACCCGCAGAAGAAGCACCGGCUAACUCCGUGCCAGCAGCCGCGGUAAUACGGAGGGUGCAAGCGUUAAUCGGAAUUACUGGGCGUAAAGCGCACGCAGGCGGUCUGUCAAGUCGGAUGUGAAAUCCCCGGGCUCAACCUGGGAACUGCAUUCGAAACUGGCAGGCUAGAGUCUUGUAGAGGGGGGUAGAAUUCCAGGUGUAGCAGUGAAAUGCGUAGAGAUCUGGAGGAAUACCGGUGGCGAAGGCGGCCCCCUGGACAAAGACUGACGCUCAGGUGCGAAAGCGUGGGGAGCAAACAGGAUUAGAUACCCGUGUAGUC
rnacentral:rRNA from 1 species